rnacentral:rRNA from 1 species
CCCUUAGAUGUUCUGGGCCGCACGCGUGCUACACUGAGUGGAUCAGCGGGUCAGGUUGCGCGAAAGUGUUUCCUAAUCUUGAAAUCCGCUCGUGAUGGGGAUUGACGGUUGCAAUUUUCCGUCAUGAACGAGGAAUACCUUGUAAGCGCGGGUCAUCAUCCCGCGCUGAAUACGUCCCUGCCCUUUGUACACACCGCCCGUCGCUCCUACCGAUUGAGUGGUCCGAUGAGGCUUUGGGAUCUGAGCGGAAAGAGCGUUUCGCUGUUUCUGCUCGGAAAACUCAGUCGAACCUUAUCAUUUAGAGGAAGGAGAAGUCGUAACA